CCUCAGAUCAGACGAGACAACCGCUGAAUUUAAUUCUAUUUAACUAUUAAAUUGAGGGAGAAAAAGUAGUAUGGGCUCCAAAUAUCAUCAAGGAAAUCGGCAGUCCGUAUCGGUCAUCGGCUAAGGCUGAUGAAAAAAAAAUCUGUAUCGGCAUCGGCCCUAAAAAAUCUGUAUCGGUCGAUCCCUAAUCUAAAAUCUCAUACUCAACUGUAAGACAACUAAUCAACUCCCCUAAAGGAAGACAUACGCAGCCAGCAACAUGACUGAGUUAUGGAAUACUACGGUUUUAUGUCUCACAGAACUUUUGGCAGUGUUUUUUGGUCUGCACCUUUCAAACAUGCAAAAAACGAAUUUUACUGUAGACUGUUAAUUAAAUAAUAAUAAGUUAACAUAAAAAUAUGAUGCCGGAAUGUCGUUCAAAGCUUAGCAGAUAUGUAAAUAGGCAUUUAUUUGGUAUGUAACCUACAAAGUAUGGGAUCAAUAUCCGAUCCAGUCAUUUUGGUCAUUAUUGCCCUGAUACCGAUAUGGAAUAUCGGAUUGGGACAUCCCUACUGUAAAUGCCAACCAACGUCCACGGCAGCUCCCUCCAUAUCUUCACUUUUUACAGGAAAAUAUGCAGAAUCGAAAGGAUCCUAAAACUUCUCGACCUCCGCCCUGUAGUUGUAUGAACAUGAUGGUCUGCGUGUGUGUGUGUGUGUGUGUGUGUUUCUGUGCAGGCUUCCAGCUGAGCCCUCGGGCCAUGAAAUGCAUCAUGAGGCGCUAUAGCCUGAAUGGCCAGAUCUCCUUUGACAACUUUGUGAGCUGCAGUAUCAGAAUCCGCUGCCUGACCGAUCACUUCCAAAAGAGAGAUGGCGCCAGGAACGGCAACGCCUCGUUUCAGUACGAUGAUUACAUCCAGGUCACCAUGAGCAAUUGAGGAAGAAAAGACCAAACCGAGGGGGGCAUACGAGUUUUUACACUCCACUCCUUGUCUUUUGAAUUUUCUAAUUUCUCUUGUAUAAACAGCAUUAAAUUGUCACGGCCACGUUCCAUUUUAAUAUUCAAACAAGUCACGUAUAUUGUAAUACACAUACAAACAUGUGAACGUGUAUGAAGUGAAUAAACCUCACACAAACAUGUCGCUUCUCUGAUUCUAUCUCUAAUUUUUCUUCUCAGUAAUCUUAUUUAUUUUUUUCCUCCCCUUCCUGCUGUAUUUAUUAUGUUGUAUCAAUAUACUA